UUUUUAAGGCGUCCGUAAGGCGUCGCUUAGGCGACGCCUAGGCGUCAGGGCGCCCUCCAGGCUCAGGGCGUCGGCCUUGCCUUAGACAGUCGUGUAAGGCGUCCGCCUUAGGCUGUAAGGCGUCUGAAGCGUCCGCCUUAGCGCCGCCUUGCACGCCUCAGACCAAAUCGGACGCCUUAGCUUGUCAGGCAGGGAAACAGAGAUUGCAGGCGGGAAAACUGACCUGGGCGGGAACACAGGCGCGGGAAACAUUGGUUCAGGUGCGACCAGUUAUGAGAAGGGGAAAGAGAGAGUGAAUCGACGCGAGAGGUCUCUCCUGUCUCCUCUCUGGACCAUUGACGGAGGCUUCCUCCUCAGAUCUGCGGCAGCCGCCAGCCUCCUCCCUCCGGCCACAGUUCCUCCCCCUCCUCUCUGGCUGCAGCUCCUCCCCAUCCUCCUCUGGCGCAACCCUCUUCCAGCAGAUCAGCACCACAUCAAGUGUAGCUAGAUGUGCUUGCCCGCUCCUCAUCUGCAUCUGUUUCUUCCCAGAUCUGCUUCUCCACCCACAAGGCAGCAGCCCCACCACUGCUUCUCUCCUUCCCCAUGCUUGAUCUGGCUGCUCUAGUGAUUUGGCUCUUCUCUCUUUUUCUUUGACAGUAGCCAGGUGUACCUGCUCUGAUGGAUCUAGCCAAUGAUCCUAGGAGAAGAGCUACAUCAGAUGAUCCAGCCUGGAAGUAUGGGUUCUGGCCAGAUUUAGAGAGGAAAGAUUUACUCCAGUGUACAUUGUGUGGCAAGAUAGUCCAUGGUGGAGUGAGAAGGCUAAAGCAGCACUUUUCUGGGGGUUCCAGUGAUGCGGAUAAGUGUCCCGAGGCAUCCAUGGAGAUUAGGAUAGAGAUGCACAAUUCCUUAAACACUAGAAAGUUUAAAGCUAUGGAGCGAUAUAUUGAUGAGGAUGAAGCUGAACUUCAAAGGCGCCGUUCUGUCAUAUACACAAGAUGAUUUGAGGCCUAUGCUUUG